GACGGAGGAUGCAAGCGUUAUCCGGAAUGAUUGGGCGUAAAGCGUCCGCAGGUGGCAGUUCAAGUCUGCUGUCAAAGACCGGGGCUUAACUUCGGAAAGGCAGUGGAAACUGAACAGCUAGAGUAUGGUAGGGGCAGAGGGAAUUCCUGGUGUAGCGGUGAAAUGCGUAGAGAUCAGGAAGAACACCGGUGGCGAAGGCGGUCGACUGGGCCAGUACUGACGCUGAGGCGCGACAGCGUGGGGAGCAAACAGG
rnacentral:rRNA from 1 species